CUGGCAGCGCCCCGACCCCAGCGAGUCUGGGCUGCGGCUGGCGGUACGAAGCGGGCGAGGCGCCCGAGCAAGAGCAAGCUGAUGAAGGAGGAAGCACUAGGGACAUGGCACAAUGGCCCAGAAAAGUAGCCGAGCCGUGGCGGAAAUCGGAGGGAAGGAACCGGGUCCUCAUAGGACCCUGCGUCUGGGGGCGGGGGUCUGAGGGCACCAGGCACUUCACCCUUCUAAACGUUCACCCCCAUCUCCCGCCCAGGUUUAAACAAAGAGCGGGAAAAAAAUAUACAUUCACGAAUAUACGUACAUAUUUUUUUUUUCUUUACAGUUUCUUCUCUGGGAACCCAAUUAGAAGGAAUUGUUUUGAUUUUGUUGCUAUUUUUUAAAAAGAGAAAAGCUUAGCAUCUGAACACAGCGCUGGCUUUAAAGACUGUCGCCUGGGCAUCUAUUUUGCAUAUCCGAAGAUAACUGGAAAGCAAGAGUGGGUUGUUGGGAGAGAAAGGGCUGCAGUCUUGGCCACUUGGUGAAUCACUUAUUCAUCUCUGGUGUUUCUUGGGAAGCUGGAGUGCUGCUGGCAAGAACAUGACCCAUUUUCAGUUCCACACCAUCAAUGUGGCAGGUGUAGGGCAGCUGUUCUCCAAGUGUGCCUCCUGGACCAGCAGCAGCAGGUUCUCCUGGGAACUAGACUGAAAUGCAAAUUCUCCAGCUCUACUCCAGACCUCCUAAAUUUGAAAACUCGGUGGUUCCUCUGCUUUAAGAAGACUUCCAAGUGAAUGUAACAUAGUGAACUUGGAAGCGGAUACAUUUCCAGAGCCUGUAGAUAAGAGCCUUGUCCAGCUAACACCUUAAUUUGAGCCUGUGAGACACUAAGCCGAGAACCCAGUCAAGUCUACCUGGACUUCUGACUGACACACCUCUUGAGUUCUAAGCUGCGAAGUUUCUGGUAAUUUGUUACAUACCAAUAGAAAACUAAUACACCAACUUCAUCCAGUUUCCCUCUGCUAUAGAAGACCUGCCUCAUGGCAGAGUUAAUUUUGAAAAAAUAAAAAUAAAUCAAGAUUUCUGGCUUCUCUUGAAAGAAUGGGAAGACUCUGCAAUUUGAGAUUUGAAUUUUUCACAUGUCAAACCACCGGCAAGAGCAGAGCAGUGACUCUCCCCAUCCUCCUUGCUGGCCCGGGUCUAGGUCCUCCAGCCUAUCAGCCCUUACCCUUCACCCUAGGCCUACAUCUCCAAUUACAUGCCUGGCCCUGGGAUAUCUGAAAUCUGUAACCACCCUGAUCAGCACAUGCUCAGCCUAUAGUAAGUGUUCAGUAAUUAUCUGCUGAAGGAGUGAAUCAAACCCCCAAACAGGCAACAUGCAGGGGAAUCUCACAGAUGAGCACAUGAAUGGAUAUCUGGCACCACUGAAUGGACAUAAGGCCAAGGGUGCCAUAACCUCAGUGCACUUUGGAGGGGUCAAACCCAUGGACCCACAGAACCUGUCCACCUGAAAGAGAUUUCCUGGAAGUCCCACCAACCUUCACUUACACUGCAUUGGCCAAAAGUAUGUCAUGUGAAUAGUCCUAGUUCCAAAGCAGGUCAGGAAAUGUUUUCAUCUUGUCACAUGUCACCGCAGCCCCAACAAGGAUGUCAGGGCUCCAGUAGGAGAAAAGGAUGGAUCCUGGUUAAGUGACCCGCAGUUUCAACACCCAGAUCAUAGAAAAGAACAAGACCAGCACCUCCAAAGCCCUCUUGUGCCCCUUCCCUGUCAGUGUUUUCCCAAAGAAUAUUCACUCUUGAAACACAAUGUUUCCUCCUCUUAGCUUCGUCUAAAUAGAUUCAUACAAGGAAUUCCCAGGCGGUCCAGUGGUUAGGACUCCACACCUUUCCUGCCAAAGGCCCAGGAUCUAUCCCUGGUCAGGGAGCUAAGAUCCCACAAGCCAUGUGGCAUGGCUGAAAUAAAUAAAUGAAGUCUAACAAGUGACUUAUUAGUUAGCCUUGAGAAAACCAAGACUAUUGGUGAGGGAAUUAAUCCACCGCUCCUCCUUGAGUUGGUUAUCAUUAACUACUCAUCUGCCCUUCAACCAUGAACAGUCAGGGGAAAUGACCAGUUGAGUAUAACAAGUAUUCUUUCCCAGGGGAGAAAUUAAAAAUAUUUUAAAAAUCAGACCCAGGUGACCACCAAAUGUUUGGACACAGAAUGGAAUGGCCAUAGUGUUGGCCAGAGAAGGGUCUUCGGGCCCCACCCUCCCAUGUAAGGAGGCCUUGGGCAGGGCAGUGAGCUGCUCGGAGAGGAGGCAGGAUGACCAAGGCAGCAGGACUCUGAGGCUCCAGGGAGCAGAUCUGUAUCAGUCAGUGAGAAUAAGCUCAGUGUUCCCCCCUCACCACAGAGUGCUGGCUGAAGGUUAGCGCUUUGUUGUUCAGCUGCUAAGU